rnacentral:rRNA from 1 species
AGGAAUAAGCGUCGGCUAACUACGUGCCAGCAGCCGCGGUAAGACGUAGGACGCGAGCGUUAUCCGGAUUUACUGGGCGUAAAGCGUGUGUAGGCGGCGUGACAAGUUGGGCGUGAAAGCCCCGUGCUCAACGCGGGGAGGCCGCACAAUACUGUCAGGCUAGAGGGCAUCAGAGGGGUGUGGAAUUCCCGGAGUAGCGGUAAAAUGCGCAGAUAUCGGGAGGAACACCGGUGGCGAAAGCGGCACCCUGGGGUGCACCUGACGCUGAGAGACGACAGCUAGGGGAGCGAACAGGAUUAGAGACCCUGGUAGUCCUAGCCGUAAACGAUGGAUGCUAGGUGUGGGAGUGAAGAACUUCUGUGCCGCAGCGAACGCGAUAAGCAUCCCGCCUGGGGAGUACGGCCGCAAGGUUAAAACUCAAACGAAUUGACGGGGACCCGCACAAGCAGCGGAGCGUGUGGUUUAAUUCGAUGCUACACGAAGAACCUUACCUGGGAUUGACAUAUGGGUGGUAGUGAGCCGAAAGGCAAGCGACCCUUCGGGGAGCCUAUACAGGUGCUGCAUGGCUGCCGUCAGCUCGUGCCGUGAGGUGUCGGGUUAAGUCCCGUAACGAGCGCAACCCCUGUCCUUAGUUACAAGUGUCUAAGGGGACUGCCGGCGGGAAGCCGGAGGAAGGUGGGGAUGACGUCAAGUCAGCAUGGCCCUUAUAUCCAGGGCGACACACACGCUACAAUGGUCGGUACAGAGGGCAGCGAAGCCGCGAGGUGGAGCGAAACCCAGAAAGCCGGUCGUAGUUCGGAUUGCAGGCUGCAACUCGCCUGCAUGAAGUUGG